rnacentral:rRNA from 1 species
AACGUAGGAGACAAACGUUAUCCGGAGUUACUGGGCGUAAAGGGCGUGUAGGCGGUUCGUUAAGUCUGGGGUGAAAGCUCUCGGCUAAACCGGGAGAGGUCGUUGGAUACUGGCAAACUAGAGGACGGUAGAGGCGUGUGGAAUUCCGGGUGUAGUGGUGAAAUGCGUAGAGAUCCGGAGGAACACCAGUGGCGAAGGCGACACGCUGGGCCGCAACUGACGCUAAAGCGCGACAGCAUGGGGAGCAAACGGG